UUUUUUUACAUUUUCCUAUUUAAUGGAGUAAAAAAUAUUAAGUUUAUUAAAGGUAUGCCUCUUCAAUUUUUUAAAUUUCAGUAGUAUCUGUUGUAAUGUGCCCCUUUUCAUCUCUAAUUUUGUUUUGGGUUACUCUGUUGGUUAGGAUUCUUUUUCAAUCAAUAUUGUUUCUCUUUAAAGAACUAAUUCAUCUUUGUUUUUGUUUCUUUAUCAUUAAUUUCUGCCUUAAUCUUGGUGGUUUAUUUCCAUUUACUGCUUUUGGGUUUGAUUUGCUCUUUUUGGAGGCAUUAUUAUUAUUAUUAUUAUUUUAGGUACUUAGAACCAUAAAUGUCCUUUCUAGGACUAUCUUUUGCAUCCCAUAGGUUUUGGUAUAUUGUAUUUGUAUUUCCAUCCAAUUCUAGCAACUUACUCAUCCAAUACCAUAAUGUUUAAUAUUAAGAGUGUUUUUCUUUUUUUCUUUUUUCUUUUUUGUAGUUUUCUUGCUUUUGACUUCUAGCUUUAUUUUACUGUGGUCAGAUAGAAUACAAGAAGUUAUUUGAAUUUUCCUUUGUUUAUUGAGAAUUGCUUUAUGGAGUAAUAUAUAAUCUAUUUUAGACAAAGUACCAUAAACUGUUGAGAAGAAUGUAUAUUCUGUAAUUCUUGGAAUGUUUUAUAGAUAUUUGUUAUAUCCCUGUAUAUAUUUAAAUAUUAUUUACAUGCAUGUGCGUAGUGUGUGAGAGCAUGUAAUGCUUGUGGGUCUAGCAGAAGCCAGGAGGGAAUGUGGACGUAAGGCAGCUGUGAACCACCUGUCAUAGGUGCUGGACUGAACUCAGAGCCUCUUGGAAGAGGUGCUCAUAAACCGUGAAGCCAUCUCUCUAGCCUGUUAUCUUACUUUAUGCGUGAAUGUUUCGCCUGAAUGCAUACAUGUGCACCAGUGUGUGCCCUUGGAGGCCAGAAGGCUGGUUGUAAGCCACCACAUGGGUGGUGGGAACCAACCUAGAUCUUCUGCCAGAAAAGCAUGUACUUUUAAGUGCUGAACCAUCUCCUCAGCCCAAUGUUUAGUAAUAUUGAUGAAACUGGGUAGACCUGUGUUCAGUGCAUAUAUGUUUAGACUAUCAUUUCUUCCAAAAAGAUUGUUCCCCUAACCAUUAGCCACUAAACUUUAUUCUGGCUAGUUAGUAUUUGAUGUCUAUUCUGUCAGACAAUAGAAUAAAGAUAUUUGCUUGUUUCCUGGUUCCCUUUGCCUGGAAUACCUUUCUCUAGUGGUUUCCCUACAAUAGUUUAUUUUUAAUAGUGAGGUGAGUUUAUAGGAGGCAAUAAAUUGAUGGGCCUUGUUUUAGAUCCAAUUUGUUAGUCUAUAUCUUUCAAUUGGGAAAUUGAGGCCAUUAAUAUUCAAAAUUAUUAUUGAAAAGUGUAUAAUAAUUCCUGUCAUUUGAUUUUGUAGUUUUUUUUUUCCUACUCUUAAUUUACAUUACUUUCUAGCAUCAUUUAUUUAUUUUUUUUCCCCUAUAGCCUCUCUGGUGUGUUUGUUCUAUUAAGUCUGAAGAAUUCCUCCUAGUGGCCUCUGUAGGGUUGGCUUAGUUCUUUCUCUAGCCUACCUUUAUCAUGGAAGGACAUUUGCCAUCAAUCAUGAUGGAUAGUUAUGCUGAGAAUAAUGGCAGCUGUGGUCUUUCGGAACUUUCCAUGUUUAUUGAAAAAUCACCAGUUAUUCUGAUGGGCUUGUCUUCAUGAAUGACUUGUUUCUCCAUAAUGAUACAGGUUUUGUAGGGCAUACCCUCAAGAUGUCCUUAAAUCUGCUCUGAUGGUUGUGCUUGGCCAUGUUCCCUGCUGUGGCAGUGAGGAGCAAGUCGUGGGAUUUCACAAAACUCCCAAAGGGGCUGCGACCCACAGGUUGAGAACUGGUGCUCUAGAGGCUAGAAGAAAGUAUUGGCCCCCCCCCCCCCCGGAACUGAAGUUCUAGAAGUUGAAGCUGCCACAUGGGUGCUGGGAAUCUAGCCCCAGUCUUCUGGAAGAGCAGCCACUGCUCUUAACUGUGGAACCAUCUCUCCAGCUGCUUCAAUAACUUUGUGAACCAAUACGAAGACACCAAAUAUUCAUCAAGGAAUGAACCACCUGCCUUCCUUGGUCCUGAGUAGAAACUGUGUAUAGGACAUUAUUUUAUAGGCAAGAGGUCUUUUUGAGAGGGACCUAGAUCUUUGGUCUACCCAGGAGACAAUAGUAGAAAGAGAUAUGUAAAUUCACACUACAACCAAGUUAUGUUUGAGAGUGCUAAGGAAAGGGAAAGAUGAUUUCAGCUGGGAACGUGAGGCUAUGAUGGUAUGUUCAUAUGUACGUGGGUGGCUGAAAGUGCACAUCUGUACAAGCAUGUAGAGGGUAGAGGUUGACGUCAGGUGUCUUUCCUGAGUGCUCUCCACUAUUUACUGACAAACAAAGCUCUCACUGAUUCAGCUAGUCUACUUAGCUACCUGGCCCCAAGAGUCCUUUGUCACUGUCUCCUGAGCACUAAAAUUACAGGUGGGGCCCCCGGACCUUGGCUUUUAGUGCUGGACAUCUGAACUCUGGUCCUCAAGCCUGCAUGGAAUGGCUUUAUCUACUGAGCCACCUCUCCAGACCCACCAUCUGCUAUUUCUUCCUUUUUUAACUUACUACAGAACUAGUGCAGAAUAAAAGAACUAACAUUUGGAGAAUCUAUUGCACAUUCUGUAAAUACUCACCAAUUGUAUUUCUCUGUCCUGGGAAGAGUAUCUUGCCCUUACCUUUAUGUGGGUAACAGCUCUUCCCCUGAUACAGUGUGCCCAUGGAGUCUGUGCCUCUGCUUUCCUAGACUGAGCUCUACGAGGACAGAGGCACUCUAACUUCCUACUGUGUCUAGGCUGGCUCAGUUUUCUAGGUAUACACCACCUUCCUCCCAAGCUUCGAACACGUGUUUACAUCUCGACACAACAAAAAUUUACCUGGUAGGGUUCCGUUUAUCUUCCUCAGAAAUCAAAAACCAAACAAAAUCUGCAUAGCUCAUUCUUCCCUCUUUUUGCACUGUUUUUCCUCUGAAGAAAAGACAUGGUUAUAACAUUUCCUGAGCAAUUAAGAAAUAAAGUAACAUCUUUAGAAAUUUACUAAAUUAAAAAAAUGAUGAAUUCCUCAUAAAGCUGGUAGUUCAGAAAGUACAACCUCUUUGAGGCUUAUUUUCAAGGGCCUAAAGGUAGAACUGGAAGGCAUUUGCCUCAGUGAAAAAAAAAAAAAAGACAAGUUAUGGUACUAGAGUUUGAACUUAAAGCCUAAUGCAGGGUAGCACUCUACCACCAAGUAACAUCCUUACCCUUCUUUUUACUUUUAAUUUAUUAUUUAGUUAACUAAUAUUUCUGAGACAGGGUCUCACUAUGUAGCCUUUAGUGGCUGGAACUAAAAAUACUGACCAAACUGAUCUUGAGCUCACAGAGACCCACUUGCCUGUGUCUCCGUGGCUAGGAUUAAAGGCAUGUACCAUCAUGUCCAGCUUACUUUUAGUUUUUUUGAAACAAGGUCGUAUUAAAUUGCCUAGGCAGGUCUUGAACUGACUCUGUGGCCCAAGAAAGCUUCAGUUUAAGUCUUCUGCCUUAGCUUACUGGGGAUUAUAGGCCCAUGCCACUAGGUCUAGCCCUAGUUUCCAUUUGAUAAUCAAUGGCAUGAGAUAUUGUUACUUACAUAUAGACAGUGGACUAAUAUUAAGGAAUCACUGUCUUUUAUUAAGCCAAAACUGUAUGCUUUUUAGAUAUAAUUUGACUUAGUAGCCCUGCAAGAUUAUGCAGAAGCUUUUCUAAAAUGAUAUUACUGCAGUAGUAUAGUUCAUUUUGCAACUCAAGUAUUAUUUCAUUUUUAUUAAUUUUUUGCUAGCCCACUAAAGAAAAUUCAAACUUUAAACUUUUCGUACCUUGUUACUGCUCCAGAAAAUAUUCUUUCAAUAAUUCUAUUGGAUGAAGCUAAAUGUAAAUAAGAAUUACAGUUAGUUAGAAAUACUCCUGACAAAUUUGUUUUUAUUUGCUAAAGCUAAGCCUAAACCAUAAUAAUCUUCCACAGUGAGAAUAUCAGUAGUUAAAUUCUUUUCUUUUUUUGAGACAGGGUUUAAUGUAUCCCAGGGUAAAGUCUAUCCUGAUAUAUAACGGAGUUAUAUCUUGAUAUAACUUGAUAUAUAACUUGAACUUCUGACCCUCCUGCCUCCACUUUGAGUGCUGGCAUUAUAGCUGUGCACAGUGGUGCACAGCCUAUGCUGGGCAUCAAACCCAGGCCUGUAUAUAUGCCAGCCAAGCACUCCGCCAACUCAGCUACAUCCUAACCCCUAAAUUCUUAAGAACAUAUAUGUGAGUGUGUGUCCAUUAAAAUCUAUUCAUUAGGGGCUGGAGAGAUGGCUCAGAGGUUAAGAGCACUGGCUGCUCUUCCAGGUCAUGAGUUCAAUUCCCAGCAACCACACGGUGGCUCAUAACCAUCUAUAAUGAGAUCUGGUACUCUUUUUCUGGCAUGCAGGUCUACAUGCAGAUAGAACGUUGUAUACAUAAUAAAUAAAUAAAUCUUUAAAAAAUUAUUCAUUGAAAACUUCAUACCUUUAUACAAUGCAUUUUGAGCCUAUCCAUCCACAAUUACCU